GGAGGCAAGCAAGCAGCUCGUUUCGUUUAGUACCACCUCGCCGAGCGAAGAGGGGACGGGAGGGCGUGAGGGUACAAAUAGAAGGGCAGGACAGCGUGUCAACCUUUCUCGGCCUUUUGGCUAAGAUCAAUUUUAGUAUCUGUUCUUAUCAAUUUAAUAUCUGAUAUGUAAGGUACACCCUCAUAACAAUAUUAAAUUUAUUUUUUAUAGGAGAGGGUCCACCACAGUGGCUCGCCCGUGUCUUGCACUACUGCACGGGCUGGCGCACCCCAA
rnacentral:sRNA from 1 species